rnacentral:lncRNA from 1 species
CGGGCGGGUGCGCCGAGGGAGGUGGCGAGGGCGGGGGCUCCGGGCGGUGCUGGGGGCGGGGAGCCGGGCAACCGGAGUGGAGGGGUAGGCGGGGGGUCGGGAGUGGCCAGCCAAUCAGGCGGACGGUGCCACCUCAGGGAAUGACGCUCGGGCCAAUGGGAAGGGCACUCCAUUCCGUCAACGCCGUGGGUCGGAAAGGGAACUGGGUGGGAGUCGGGCCAGGCUGGUGAGUGCCCUAGGGAGGAGAAAAGAGAGGGAGAAGUUCCUGCGAAGAACUGCGGGAAUGUGCGGCUGGAAUUCACUCUCCCCCGGCUUAGGCUGCUAAGGGAGCUCUGGGCCCUGCUCGAGGAUCUCCUGCCACUCCCAAUAGCGCCGCGCCCUGGGACCCUCCGCCACCCAUCACUCCAUCCCUGGGAUUCCAGUGCCUUAAGAAGGACGCUGUUCAAGAAGAAAUCUACAACCUGUAGUACAUAAAAUGAUCUUGCCCUUUGGCAGAUUAUUAAAUGGAAACUGUUUGGCACCUCCCAGCAUUGUCCAUCAACAGUCUUCCCAGAACUGCUGACUCUAAUCUCUGGUGCACAUGGUUGGAGGAAUGUGACCUGAUGGAGUUGAUGUAGCUGUCCAAAUGACCUACUUUCCAACUGGAAGAAUGCAUUAUAGAAGAAUUUUUUCAAAAAUCUCUGAGUGAAAAAAAAAUUUUCCCUCUUUUUCUUAUUCACCAUUUGAAUGUAUUCC